UACGGAGGGAGCUAGCGUUGUUCGGAAUUACCGGGCGUAAAGCGCACGUAGGCGGCUAUUCAAGUCGGGGGUGAAAGCCCGGGGCUCAACCCCGGAACUGCCCUCGAAACUAGGUAGCUAGAAUCUUGGAGAGGCGAGUGGAAUUCCGAGUGUAGAGGUGAAAUUCGUAGAUAUUCGGAAGAACACCAGUGGCGAAGGCGACUCGCUGGACAAGUAUUGACGCUGAGGUGCGAAAGCGUGGGGAGCAAACAGG
rnacentral:rRNA from 1 species